GGAAGUAAAAGUCGUAACAAGGUUUCCGUAGGUGAACCUGCGGAAGGAUCAUUACUGAUUUAGCGAACCGAGCGUUAGCGAGGUUUUGCGAUCAACUUGUAUUUAAAACCCACUCUUCAAUGUAUAAAAUUUGUAUUAAUGAUAAAUUAAAAGAUCACCUUCAACAACGGAUCUCUUGGCUCUCGCAUCGAUGAAGAACGUAGCGAAGUGCGAUAAGUAAUGUGAAUUGCAGUAUUCCGUGAAUCAUCGAACUUUGAACGCGUAUUGCACUUUCUGGUAUUCCGGAAAGUAUGCCUGUUUGAGGGUCAGUUAAAUAAAAAUCGGUGUUGUUGCUGCUGUGGUGACGCGUCGGAAUUGAGUUGUCUUACCUUCGGUUAAGUGACUUAAAAUUUUGCAUGAUUUUUGAACGUAUUUAAAUUGCUUACGUACGUUUGAGAUAUCGAAUAUUUUAUUAGGUUCGGUCAUCCUCAUGACUCGCGCCUAUAAUUUUUCAUUAAAUGACCUCAAAUCAGGUAAGAAUACCCGCUGAACUUAAGCAUAUCAAUAAGCGGAGGA
rnacentral:rRNA from 1 species